rnacentral:rRNA from 1 species
AGUGAACGCUGGCGGCGUGCUUAAGACAUGCAAGUCGAACGGCAGUCUUCGGACUGUAGUGGCGCACGGGUGAGUAACGCGUAACUGACCUACCCCAAAGUCGCGGAUAACGAUUCGAAAGAAUCGCUAAUACGUGAUGUGCUGUCAGAUUGUGUUCUGCCAGUAAAGAUUGAUUGCUUUGGGAUGGGGUUGCGUUCCAUCAGCUAGUUGGUGGGGUAAAGGCUCACCAAGGCGACGACGGAUAGCCGGCCUGAGAGGGUGGCCGGCCACAGGGGCACUGAGACACGGGUCCCACUCCUACGGGAGGCAGCAGUUAGGAAUCUUCCACAAUGGGCGAAAGCCUGAUGGAGCGACGCCGCGUGAGGGAUGAAGGUCUUCGGAUCGUAAACCUCUGAAUCAGGGACGAAAGACACUUCGGUGGGAUGACGGUACCUGGGUAAUAGCACCGGCUAACUCCGUGCCAGCCGCCGCGGUAACAC